rnacentral:rRNA from 1 species
GAUGAACGCUGGCGGCGUGCCUAAUACAUGCAAGUCGAGCGAACAGACGAGGAGCUUGCUCCUCUGACGUUAGCGGCGGACGGGUGAGUCACACGUGGAUAACCUACCUAUAAGACUGGGAUAACUUCGGGAAACCGGAGCUAAUACCGGAUAAUAUAUUGAACCGCAUGGUUCAAUAGUGAAAGACGGUUUUGCUGUCACUUAUAGAUGGAUCCGCGCCGCAUUAGCUAGUUGGUAAGGUAACGGCAUACCAAGGCAACGAUGCCUAGCCGACCUGAGAGGGUGAUCGGCCACACUGGAACUGAGACUCGGCCCAGACUCCUACGGGAGGCAGCAGUAGGGAAUCUUCCGCAAUGGGCGAAAGCCUGACGGAGCAACGCCGCGUGAGUGAUGAAGGUCUUCGGAUCGUAAAACUCUGUUAUUAGGGAAGAACAAAUGUGUAAUUAACUAUGCACGUCUUGACGGUACCUAAUCAGAAAGCCACGGCUAACUACGUG